UUGCUCUUCAACGAGGAAUACCUAGUAAGCGUGAGUCAUCAGCUCGCGUUGAUUACGCCCCUGCCCUUUGUACACACCGCCCGUCGCUACUACCGAUUGAAUGGCUUAGUGAGGUCUCCGGAUUGGCGGUGGGGAGCCGGCAACGGCACCCUAUUGCUGAGAAGCUGAUCAAACUUGGUCAUUUAGAGGAAGUAAAAGUCGUAACAAGGUUUCCGUAGGUGAACCUGCGGAAGGAUCAUUAACGAAUAACUAUGGCGUUGGUUGUAGCUGGCUCCUCGGAGCAAUGUGCACGCCCGCCAUUUUUAUCUUUCCACCUGUGCACCGACUGUAGGUCUGGAUACCUCUCGCCUCCGGGCGGAUGCGAGGGUUGCUCGUAAGGGCUUCCCUUGAACUUCCAGGCUCUACGUCUUUUUACACACCCCAAUAGUAUGAUGCAGAAUGUAGUCAAUGGGCUUCUCAGCCUAUAAAACACUAUACAACUUUCAGCAACGGAUCUCUUGGCUCUCGCAUCGAUGAAGAACGCAGCGAAAUGCGAUAAGUAAUGUGAAUUGCAGAAUUCAGUGAAUCAUCGAAUCUUUGAACGCACCUUGCGCUCCUUGGUAUUCCGAGGAGCAUGCCUGUUUGAGUGUCAUUAAAUUCUCAACCUCACCAGUUUUCUGAACUGACUGAGGCUUGAUGUGGGGGUUUGUGCAGGCUGCCUCACCGGCGGUCUGCUCCCCUGAAAUGCAUUAGCGAGGUUCAUGCUGGACCUCCGUCUAUUGGUGUGAUAAUUAUCUACGCCGUGGACGAGGAUACAGACUCGCUUCUAACCGUCCGCGAGGACAAUACCUUGACAAUUUGACCUCAAAUCAGGUAGGACUACCCGCUGAACUUAAGCAUAUCAAUAAGCGGAGGA
rnacentral:rRNA from 1 species